rnacentral:ncRNA from 1 species
UUGAAUAUAGAGGCUGUUGGUGCAACUCAUAUUAUGGGGUUGCUUAAUAGGGAAGUUUGGUGAAAUUCCAACACGGUCCCGCCACUGUAAUGGAUAGAAUCUUACUUAUACCACUGUAUUGGUAGUAUGGGAAGGUGUAAGAUUUGUUAUUCCUUAGUCAGGAGACCUGCCAAUGGGAACAAUGCCGU